UACGAAGGGGGCUAGCGUUGCUCGGAAUCACUGGGCGUAAAGGGUGCGUAGGCGGGUUCUUAAGUCAGAGGUGAAAUCCUGGAGCUCAACUCCAGAACUGCCUUUGAUACUGAGAGUCUUGAGUUCGGGAGAGGUGAGUGGAACUGCGAGUGUAGAGGUGAAAUUCGUAGAUAUUCGCAAGAACACCAGUGGCGAAGGCGGCUCACUGGCCAGAUACUGACGCUGAGGCACGAAAGCGUGGGGAGCAAACACG
rnacentral:rRNA from 1 species